rnacentral:rRNA from 1 species
AGAUAAUAGAUACCCGGGUAGUCCAUGCCGUAAACGUUGGGCACUAGGUGUGGGGGACAUUCCACGUUUUCCGCGCCGUAGCUAAACGCAUUAAGUGCCCCGCCUGGGGAGUACGGCCGCAAGGCUAAAACUCAAAGGAAUUGACGGGGGCCCGCACAAGCGGCGGAGCAUGCGGAUUAAUUCGAUGCAACGCGAAGAACCUUACCAAGGCUUGACAUGAACCGGAAAGAUCUGGAAACAGGUCCCCACUUGUGGUCGGUUUACAGGUGGUGCAUGGUUGUCGUCAGCUCGUGUCGUGAGAUGUUGGGUUAAGUCCCGCAACGAGCGCAACCCUCGUUCUAUGUUGCCAGCACGUGAUGGUGGGGACUCAUAGGAGACUGCCGGGGUCAACUCGGAGGAAGGUGGGGACGACGUCAAAUCAUCAUGCCCCUUAUGUCUUGGGCUCCACGCAUGCUACAAUGGCCGGUACAAAGGGUUGCGAUACUGUGAGGUGGAGCUAAUCCCAAAAAGCCGGUCUCAGUUCGGAUU